GCGUCACUAGCUCAGCUGGAUAGAGUAUCGGCCUCCGAAGCCGAGGGUCACAAGUUCGAAUCUUGUGUGACGCGCCA
rnacentral:tRNA from 1 species